GUGGGGAAUAUUGGACAAUGGGCGCAAGCCUGAUCCAGCCAUGCCGCGUGAGUGAUGAAGGCCUUCGGGUUGUAAAGCUCUUUAGUCCACGAAUAUAAUGACUGUAGUGGAAGAAUAAGCCCCGGCUAACUUCGUGCCAGCAGCCGCGGUAAUACGAAGGGGGCGAGCGUUAUUCGGAAUCACUGGGCGUAAAGCGUGCGUAGGCUGUUUUGUAAGUCAGAAGUGAAAGCCCAGGGCUUAACCCUGGAAUUGCUUUUGAAACUACAAGACUCGAAUUCGGGAGAGGAUAGCGGAAUUGUCAGUGUAGCAGUGAAAUGCGUAGAUAUUGACAGGAACACCAGUGGCGCAAGCGGCUAUCUGGACCGAUAUUGACGCUGAGGCACGAAAGCGUGGGGAGCAAACAGGAUUAGAUACCCGUGUAGUCC
rnacentral:rRNA from 1 species